rnacentral:rRNA from 1 species
UGGUUCCUACGGGAGGCAGCAGCCGCGGUAAUACGUAUGUCCCGAGCGUUAUCCGGAUUUAUUGGGCGUAAAGCGAGCGCAGACGGUUUAUUAAGUCUGAUGUGAAAGCCCGGAGCUCAACUCCGGAAUGGCAUUGGAAACUGGUUAACUUGAGUGCAGUAGAGGUAAGUGGAACUCCAUGUGUAGCGGUGGAAUGCGUAGAUAUAUGGAAGAACACCAGUGGCGAAGGCGGCUUACUGGACUGCAACUGACGUUGAGGCUCGA